rnacentral:rRNA from 1 species
UACAGAGGGUGCGAGCGUUGUCCGGAAUCACUGGGCGUAAAGGGCGCGUAGGCGGCCUGAUAAGUAGGGGGUGAAAUCUUGCGGCUCAACCGCAAGGCUGCCUUCUAAACUGUCAGGCUGGAGCACGGUAGAGGCAGAUGGAAUUCCCGGUGUAGCGGUGGAAUGCGUAGAUAUCGGGAGGAACACCAGUGGCGAAGGCGACUUCCUGGCCUGUUCUUGACGCUGAGGCGCGAAAGCUAGGGGAGCAAACGGG